UUGGCAGCACUAGAAACUAAAUGUUAUGUGAAUCCACAAAAUGGAUAUCAGAAGUACAAACUUCUUCAUCCUGCCCAAACAAUGUACGCCUCAUUUCUGACCUGAAAGGACCACCUGUAGGGGAAAAAUGUUAGUUUGGUGUCCAUGGCCCAUUCAUUCUUCUGCCAGU
rnacentral:sRNA from 1 species